CAGAGCGUAGCUAAGCAAGAAUAGCAUCUCACUUACACCGAGAAGGCACCCGUGCAAGUCGGGUCGCACUG
rnacentral:tRNA from 1 species